rnacentral:rRNA from 1 species
UACGGGGGGAGCAAGCGUUGUUCGGAUUUACUGGGCGUACAGGGCGCGUAGGCGGUCAGCACAAGUCAGUUGUGAAAUCUCCGAGCUUAACUCGGAAAGGUCAACUGAUACUGUGCGACUAGAGUGCGGAAGGGGCAACUGGAAUUCUUGGUGUAGCGGUGAAAUGCGUAGAUAUCAAGAGGAACACCUGCGGCGAAGGCGGGUUGCUGGGCCGACACUGACGCUGAUGCGCGAAAGCCAGGGGAGCGAACGGG